rnacentral:rRNA from 1 species
CGAACGCUGGCGGCGUGGAUUAGGCAUGCAAGUCGAACGGUAUGGACCUUUCGGGGUUCAGAGAGUGGCGAACGGGUGAGUAACACGUAGGUAAUCUACCCUCAAGACGGGGACAACCCAGGGAAACUUGGGCUAAUACCGGAUGUGUGUAGUGGCUAUUUUUCUGAUUAUCAUUAUUUACGUAAGUGAGUAAUAAUAAGAAGGGAAAGUGGUUAUUACAUAAAAGGUGGCGUAAGCUGCCGCUUGGGGAUGAGCCUGCGUCCUAUUAGUUAGUUGGUGAGGUAACGGCUUACCAAGGCGAUGAUAGGUAGGCGGCCUUAACGGGUGGUCGCCCACACUGGGAUUGAGAUACGGCCCAGACUCCUACGGGAGGCAGCAGUCGAGAAUAGUCUACAAUGGACGGAAGUCUGAUAGUGCGACGCCGCGUGAACGAAGAAUCCCUUCGGGGUGUAAAGUUCUUUUAUACGUGAGCAGUGUCCUUUAUAUUAAUAGUAUAAGGGGAGAGAUAUUAGCGUAUGAAUAAGCAACGGCUAACUCCGUG